UUGACCUCGGAUCAGGCAGGAA
rnacentral:rRNA from 1 species